AGUUUGAUCCUGGCUCAGGAUGAACGCUAGCUACAGGCUUAACACAUGCAAGUCGAGGGGCAGCAUGGUCUUAGCUUGCUAAGGCCGAUGGCGACCGGCGCACGGGUGAGUAACACGUAUCCAACCUGCCGUCUACUCUUGGACAGCCUUCUGAAAGGAAGAUUAAACAAAGGUCGCCUCCUGGGUCCCGCUAUUUACAUUGAUAAAAGGUUUUCCGGUAGGCGGGUGGGGUCGUUUCCAUUAAAUAGGGGCGGGGGUCACCCCCCCCCUUUUUCUUUGGAAGGAAGGGGUUUGGGAGGAGACGCUCCCCCACAUUGGGAAAUGAGCCCGGGUCCAAACUUCCGAGGGGGAGCCAGCAGUGAAGAAUUUUUGGCCAAUGGGCGAGGCCCUGACCCAGCCAAAGUAGCGUAGAGGAUGACUCCCCUUGGGGGUUGAAAACUUCUUUUAAAAAAGAAAUAAAGUCGGGUAAGCAUACUCGUUUGGCAUGUACUUUAAGAAUAAGGAUCGGCUAACUCCGUCCCAGCAGCCGCGGUAAUACGGAGGAUCCGAGCGUUAUCCGGAUUUAUUGGGUUUAAAGGGAGCGUAGAUGGAUGUUUAAGUCAGUUGUGAAAGUUUGCGGCUCAACCGUAAAAUUGCAGUUGAUACUGGAUAUCUUGAGUGCAGUUGAGGCAGGCGGAAUUCGUGGUGUAGCGGUGAAAUGCUUAGAUAUCACGAAGAACUCCGAUUGCGAAGGCAGCCUGCUAAGCUGCAACUGACAUUGAGGCUCGAAAGUGUGGGUAUCAAACAGGAUUAGAUACCCUGGUAGUCCACACGGUAAACGAUGAAUACUCGCUGUUUGCGAUAUACAGCAAGCGGCCAAGCGAAAGCGUUAAGUAUUCCACCUGGGGAGUACGCCGGCAACGGUGAAACUCAAAGGAAUUGACGGGGGCCCGCACAAGCGGAGGAACAUGUGGUUUAAUUCGAUGAUACGCGAGGAACCUUACCCGGGCUUAAAUUGCAGAUGAAUUACGGUGAAAGCCGUAAGCCGCAAGGCAUCUGUGAAGGUGCUGCAUGGUUGUCGUCAGCUCGUGCCGUGAGGUGUCGGCUUAAGUGCCAUAACGAGCGCAACCCUUGUUGUCAGUUACUAACAGGUUCCGCUGAGGACUCUGACAAAACUGCCAUCGUAAGAUGUGAGGAAGGUGGGGAUGACGUCAAAUCAGCACGGCCCUUACGUCCGGGGCUACACACGUGUUACAAUGGGGGGUACAGAGGGCCGCUACCACGCGAGUGGAUGCCAAUCCCCAAAACCUCUCUCAGUUCGGACUGGAGUCUGCAACCCGACUCCACGAAGCUGGAUUCGCUAGUAAUCGCGCAUCAGCCACGGCGCGGUGAAUACGUUCCCGGGCCUUGCACACACCGCCCGUC
rnacentral:rRNA from 1 species